rnacentral:rRNA from 1 species
AGAGGGAUCUAAUCAUUAAAAUGGUAUUUACGAUAACGUAAGGGACAAAAAUGAUAGUACCUUACUAUAAGUGUUGUCCAACAUUACUGGUGCCAGAAGACUCGGUAACGCCAGAAACGCAAACGUUAGUCGUCUUAAUCAGGCGUAAAGGGUAAGUAGGCUGCUUUAAAAGUUUUUCGAUUAAAAAGCUCUUUAAAAAUUCAAAAUUUAAAGUAAUUAAAAAAUGAAUUAAAGCUAGAAUCAAGCAUAGGAUAAUACAAAGAAUAUUUAGAGUAAGGCUGAUAUCUGUAGAUACUAAAUGGAAUUCUAAAGGUGAAAACUUUUAUCUAAUACUGAUUGACGCUGAGGAACGAAGGUGAGAAUAGAAAACAGGAUUAGAGACCCAGGUAUCUCUCACUGUCAACGAUGAAUGGUGGUUGUUAGUAUGAAAAAAGCUAGUAACGAUGUUAACGCGAUAACCAUUCCGCCUUGCGAGUACGGUUGCAAAACUGA